rnacentral:rRNA from 1 species
GACGAAGGAUGCAAGCGUUAUCCGGAUUCAUUGGGUUUAAAGGGUGCGUAGGCGGACUUGUAAGUCAGUGGUGAAAUCUCUCAGCUUAACUGAGAAACUGCCAUUGAUACUGCAGGUCUAGAGUAUAGAUGACGUUGGCGGAAUAUGACAUGUAGUGGUGAAAUACUUAGAUAUGUCAUAGAACACCGAUUGCGAAGGCAGCUAACGAAACUAUAACUGACGCUGAGGCACGAAAGUGCGGGGAUCAAACAGGAUUAGAUACCCUGGUAGUCCGCACCGUAAACGAUGAUUACUCGUUGUUGGCGAUAUGACAGUCAGCGACCAAGCGAAAGCGAUAAGUAAUCCACCUGGGGAGUACGCCGGCAACGGUG